UUGAGCCGUAUGCGGGGAAACUUGCUUGUACGGUUCUUAGGGGGCGGCGGCGCAGUAAUGCGCUGCUGCUACCCGAC
rfam:Rheinheimera nanhaiensis E407-8 DNA, contig: CTG003.